rnacentral:lncRNA from 1 species
UGAACAUUGUUUCAUAUAAAAGACAUCCUCUUUUUCCCCUAAAACCAGUUCCCUCAAUCUUCCCUAAAACCCUCCAGCAGAACCCACUUCCCUCCAGAGAAAUCAAGUUUUUUCCGGCGAUUUUGGGCAAGAAACCACCGUCGUGACCGGCCGCUGUUCGAAGGUUCAUUGUUUCACUUCUUCAAGCUGAUUUCAGGUUUGCUCUGUUUCUCCAAUUUAAUCUUUUCUUCAUUUACACCAUGCUUGGAUUUGAUUGUAAAGUAGACACGAAGCUUCCUUCUAGAUGUAUAUGUGAUUUAUAGUCCUUGUUUGUUUAUUAGUAGAAUUUUAGAUAGGGUUUUUUCAUCUAUGCCCUAGGUGAGUUUUUGGGGUCAUUGUGUGAUGAACACUAUCAAUCAGAUAUUGUAGGCGAUUGACUAAUGAAUAGACCUGGAAAACGGGUCGGGUCGGGUCAUGGGUCAAACGGGUCCAGCGGGUUUAGCCUUGAGUAAACCCAUAAAUAAAUUUGAAGUGAACAUAUGUAACAUUGUAAGUCCGUGUUCCAUCGGGUUUAGCCGUUGAGUUUAGUAUUAGAAUUAUAAGAUCGUGAGUUCAAGUCUGGUUCAUGUCUUUUUUUUUGUUAAUAGUUCAACUCCAUUGUGAUUUAUGAAUAAAAGUGUUCUAACAUUAAAUUUUGAUUUGGGAAUAAAAGUGUUUGUUAAAUAAACCCAGUUUCAGUGCAUUAGGAACAAGAGUCCAACUAUUGAAUUGGAUUAUUAAUAUAUCAAAACUACUUAAUGAAAAUUAGUUUCACAAGAUUUAAUGUUGAUGUCAAGUUUGGAAUGUCAGUCAAGUCCUUUGAGAAACUGAGUUUUUUUUUUUGUUUGUUUGAAAGUUUAACUUCAUUUUGAGAAACUGAGGUUAAUAGACCUCUAAUUAGGCAGCUUGUGUUCUUGGUUUAAAAAAGUGCGCCUUAAGCGCGCUUAAAAGCAAAGCGACUCUAGGCCCAAAGAGUUGCGCCUUGUGUGACAUAAAGCGAGCUAUGUACAAAAAGCGCACAAAAAGCGAGCUUUUUUGGAAAAAAAAAAUCCCACUGAGGCGCGCGCUUUUUGUACAAAAGGUGUUUUUGUGAUUUAAAGUGUUAUACAUGCAGCUAAAAUGGUUGUACAUUAUAUGAUUUAGACAUUAAAUCAUAUGUAAACCUUAUUUGUCACUAUAUUUUGGGCAAGGGAUGCUAAAAGACUAUAGGAUAUAUAUAAAAAAUAUAUAAGCACCUUGUGCCUCACGUACGAAAAGCUGACCGCUUUUGCGAUUUACGCUUCACGCUUUAAUUUUAGAACUUGUCGCUUUUGUGCGCUUCACGCUUUUUUAAACCAAGCUUGUGUUGUAGUUGAGGUCCUUGCAAAUCAUGACUAAAAAUCUAUUAAUGUGGUAUACAGACAAUUAUUACCAAGUCGUUAGUCCAAAAUGAUUUAAGUUGGCUAGAACCUAUUUCAAGUUUAUAAAAGUGUUUUAGUUUGAACAUUGAAGGCACUUGUUACUAGGAUUUUGGUGCCAGAUCCAAACCAUUCACUUCCACUAGCUAAAUAGGUCAAGUGGUCAACAUGAUUUACAUAAUCCAAAACGAUUAUAACCUUUAAACCACAUAGCUUUGUCCCCCAACAAAAUUUGCCCAUGUUUAACACUUUGAACAUGAACGAUUUUCUCCUUUAAAAUGUCAUUAAGAAGUUUCUGUUGUAAUAUGCGUAAAUUAGUGAGUUCGCUAUGAUGGUACAAGUUUUUAUGGCCGCUUAAUCGCUUAAUCGACUUAUAAACACAUUAAACUGCAAGACUGAUUAGUGAGUUCGCUAUGAUGGCACGAGUUUUUAUGGCCGCUAUGACUUUUAUGGCCGCUUAAUCGUUUGCCGGCUGCAAAUAUGCUGCAGACCGGCUGCGAACAUGCUGCAGUCUGGCUGCAAAUACUCUGCAGACCCAUAAAAAGGUACUGCUAGUAAUCUUUUAACAAAAAAGAUAUGAACGAUCAAACGAAUUAACAAACGGUCUGCAUGCGAAACUUACCUGAUAAUUGAAGUGCUGCUAGUAUGUUUUUAAAUGUCGAUGCUGAUUGCUUAAUGCCUGAGCCUGAAUGUUUUUGGACGGCUGAAUGCUUAAUUAAUAUCGAUCACCUUAAAGUUUUUAUUUAUCAUGGAUUUUUUGCAUUAUCUCUUUAAGUUACAAUAUAAUCUUUAUUUUUAUCAAUGAUUUUGCAUUAUUUCUUGAAGAAUUGCAUUUAGUUAUGAUGAUAUGUUAGCAACAAAUCGCACAUUUGAAUCGGUUCCAAAUUGA